rnacentral:rRNA from 1 species
AACGAACGCUGGCGGCAUGCCUAACACAUGCAAGUCGAACGAGGCCUUCGGGUCUAGUGGCGCACGGGUGCGUAACGCGUGGGAACCUGCCCUUGGGUUCGGAAUAACUCCCCGAAAGGGGUGCUAAUAACGGAUAAUGUCUUCGGACCAAAGAUUUAUCGCCUUUGGAUGGGCCCGCGUUGGAUUGGCUAGUUGGUAGGGUAAAAGCCUACCAAGGAGACGAUCCAUAGCUGGUCGGAGAGGAUGAUCCGCCACACUGGGACUGAGACACGGCCCAGACUCCUACGGGACGCAGCAGUGGGGAAUAUUGGACAAUGGGCGAAAGCCUGAUCCAGCAAUGCCGCGUGAGUGAUGAAGGCCUUAGGGUUGUAAAGCUCUUUUACCCGGGAUGAGAAUGACAGUACCGGGAGAAUAAGCACCGGCUAACUCCGUG